rnacentral:lncRNA from 1 species
UCUCUCAGGCAUCUUCUUCAGUAAAGGUUAUAGAUCCUUCAGUUCUUUGCCGCUUGGGCGGUCCGGCCGAUCCACUGGCCGCUCCCCUCUAGGGCCCUCCAGAGAUGGUAUUGAUGAUCCCAAUUGGAGGCCGAUCUUCAGGCUGUUCUUCCCUCCUUGGCAGCUCCGGUUGCGGCAGGGCCCUCGGUCGAUCCUCCCUACCUUCAGGC